rnacentral:rRNA from 1 species
CCUACGGGAGGCAGCAGUGGGGAAUAUUGCACAAUGGGCGAAACGCUGAUGCAGCGACGCCGCGUGAGUGAUGAAGUACCUAGGUGUGUAAAGCCCUAUCAGCAGGGAAGAAAAUGACGGUACCUGAUUAAGCACCCCCGGCUAACUACGUGACAGCAGCCCCGGCAACACGCAGGGGGCCAGCGUUAUACGGAUUUACUGGGUGUAAAGGGAGCGUAGACGGCAGCGCAAGUCUGAAGUGAAAUGCCGGGGCUUAACCCCGGAACUGCUUUUGAAACUGCGCAGCUAGAGUGCAGGAGAGGUAAGUGGAAUUCGUAGUGUAGCGGUGAAAUGCGUAGAUAUUAGGCGGAACACCAGUGGCGAAGGCGGCGUACUGGACUGUAACUGACGUUGAGGCUCGAAAGCGUGGGGAGCAAACAGGAUUAGAUACCCGGGUAGUC